GAUGAACGCUGGCGGCGUGCCUAAUACAUGCAAGUCGAGCGAACAGACGAGGAGCUUGCUCCUCUGACGUUAGCGGCGGACGGGUGAGUAACACGUGGAUAACCUACCUAUAAGACUGGGAUAACUUCGGGAAACCGGAGCUAAUACCGGAUAAUAUAUUGAACCGCAUGGUUCAAUAGUGAAAGACGGUUUUGCUGUCACUUAUAGAUGGAUCCGCGCCGCAUUAGCUAGUUGGUAAGGUAACGGCUUACCAAGGCAACGAUGCGUAGCCGACCUGAGAGGGCGAUCGGCCACACUGGAACUGAGACACGGCCCAGACUCCUACGGGAGGCAGCAGUAGGGAAUCUUCCGCAAUGGGCGAAAGCCUGACGGAGCAACGCCGCGUGAGUGAUGAAGGUCUUCGGAUCGUAAAACUCUGUUAUUAGGGAAGAACAAAUGUGUAAGUAACUAUGCACGUCUUGACGGUACCUAAUCAGAAAGCCACGGCUAACUACGUG
rnacentral:rRNA from 1 species